CAUUUUGAGUCAAGAAGUCAACCGUUCUGAUAACUACAGAUCAGAUUCCUAAAGCUGCAAGAAAAAGAUAACAAUUUUCAGGAGCGAAAGCACUGUACCCAGCAGUUUACAGAUGGCAGAAGUGAAGUCGAUGUUCCGAGAAGUCCUUCCAAAACAAGGCACCCGUGGAAGCACAAGAAGACAUCUGAUCCCCUAGACCUUUAUUCUCAGCACUCAGGACACCAAAACAGAAAGACUACCCUGAGUUUGAGGACAGCCUGGAGAUUCUGUCCCAAACAAUGAAAUGUUUUUGUUUAUUUUGCACUGCUGGACUGAACACAGGGCCCAGCAAGAGUCACACAGGAGACCUAAAAGACGAAACAAAUGCAUUCCCACGGAGAAGUGACAGUGUUCACAUGUUUUAUUUUGUUGUACAUUCUUGUAGAACCGGGUUCGUUUUUCCAGUUUUGUAGAAAAAUAGAUGUUCCAGCCACCAUUUACUUAACUGUCUAAUAUUUAAGGGCAAUCAAUACGUUCCCUGGAAAGACGAAAAAGUCUCAUGACUAACUCGCUUCUUAAAGUCCGUUAAGACAAAAAUCUGUGUGCGUGUAUGUGUGUGCGUGUCUGUGUGUGUAUGUCUAUGUACGUGUGUGCGUGUCUGUGUGUGUAUGUCUAUGUACGUGUAUGCGUGUGUGUGUGUGUGUGUGUGUGUGUGUGUGUGUGUGUUUACUCUCAAAGCACAGCAUCUCCACAGCAGCAGCCAAAAUGGGGUUUAGCAGCUUCACUUCACCCCUAACUAAAGCUUUGUAUAAACCAGUGAUUUUACUACAAAAAACACUGUCCUUGAAAGAAAGGAGUGGCAGUCGUACAUGAAUGCAAAACUUGGAAUGAUUAGGUCAUAAACAUGGCACUUAGAAAGUAGCUUAUCAGAACACCCCACACAUAGGUGGUUACUCUUCGGUCCCUCCUUUAAUUUCCCCUCAAAGAAAAAAAAAAGAAAAAAAAGAAAAUACUUCCUUCAAAAAUUCCCAUUAAAUGUAAGUUUAUAAAAUUUUAGAAAUGCCUUGUACCCAAAACAAAUUCUUUAAAAAAAGAAAAAAAAAACAAUAACAAAAA
rnacentral:lncRNA from 1 species